rnacentral:rRNA from 1 species
GUUGAACGCUAGCUACAGGCUUAACACAUGCAAGUCGAGGGACCGGCGCACGUGUGAGUAACACGUAUCCAACCUGCCCUUUACUCGGGGCUAGCCUUUCGAAAGAAAGAUUAAUACCCGAUAUAAAGGAUGGGGAUGCGUUGCAUUAGGUUGUUGGUGAGGUACCGGCCCACCAAGCCUUCGAUGGAUAGGGGUUCUGAGAGGAAGGUCCCCCACAUUGGAACUGGGACACGGUCCAAACUGCUACGGGAUGCAGCAGUGAGGAAUAUUGGUCAAUGGGCGUUAGCCUGAACCAGCCAAGUAGCGUGAAGGAUGAAGGCUUAUGGGUCGUAAACUUCUUUUAUAUAAGAAUCUGUAUUAUCUGAAUAAGGAUCGGCGAACUCCGUGCCAGCAGCCGCGGUAAUUC